CAGUCGCCGCGGGAAUACGUAGGUGGCAAGCGUUGUCCGGAAUUAUUGGGCGUAAAGGGCUCGCAGGCGGUUUCUUAAGCCUGAUAUGAAAGCCCCCGGCUCAACCGGGGAGGGUCAUUGGAGACUGGGAAACUUGAGUGCAGAAGAGGAGAGUGGAAUUCCACGUGUAGCGGUGAAAUGCGUGGAGAUGUGGAGGAACACCAGUGGCGAAGGCGACUCUCUGGUCUGUAACUGACGCUGAGGAGCGAAAGCGUGGGGAGCGAACAGGAUUAGAUACCCCCGUAGUCCCUGUCUCUUAUAC
rnacentral:rRNA from 1 species